AGAUUGGUGGCUAAAUGAAGGAAAGCGCGUGUUUUCAAAUCGCAAAUCCGAGGGUUCGAAUCCCCACCAAUUCA
rnacentral:tRNA from 3 species